rnacentral:sRNA from 1 species
UGCGGGAGUUUGGGGUCCCCGGGCACGC